GAGGGGGCUGUGCUGGGUGCCCAUCUCCCUUGCCAAAUGCCGGCACCAGCCCCCGCCCUUUCUUGAGCCACAGAAGGCACACCCAACCCGCUCACAGCCCCCGUGCAAGCCCGGCGACCUCUUCCCCAGGCCUAGUUUAGCUGCUAGCUCAAGGGGGCGUCUGGGCUCGAGUUUGGUACUUUAAGACUUUACCCACCUGUUGCACCCCCCGGGCAGGUCUAUGGGACAACGGUGUCCUCUCUGUGCCUCCCACCCAUUAGCUCCCCGCUUUUGGCCGUGCCCUAGGGCAGGCUCUCCACCCCGAGGUCACUGAAGGCCAGCUGCCCAAUGGGGCAGCUUAGAGUCCCUCCUUUAACCUCCGGGCAGGAUCAGGGAUGGUUACUGCCCACUGAGCCCAGUCAGUAUUAUUGCCUCGUGGACAUAGACUUUCCCCACACCCCCAGCCUUGCCAGCUGGGCCCAGACUCUGCUCGGGGCCCUUGAGAGGUCUGGGAGCAUCUGAGGGUGCUUCGCGCGUGUAGGGGCAAUGGACGAGCUGGCCCCCUCAACCCCCGCCAAGCAGCUGAGAUUUAGAGUGGAAGCUUCCCAUGGGGACGAGCCACUGCCAGCAGGACCCCAGUGAGAUGCAGCAUGGCAAUAAAAGGCCUUUGCCUGCACGGGGGGUGGCCACCCAGAGCCCUCUGCCAAGCUGUGGAGAGAAGGAAAUGUGAACUCGAUGAUGAUGAUGAUGGUAUUGAGAUCCGGGAGCAUCCGAGCCAUCACGGCCCCUGCCCGCAGACCAUCCGGGCCUGAGAGUCUUAGACCCGUGCACUCUCAGCUUCACCAUGAUGCCCCUGUCAUGGGCAGGCGUGCCGGCAUCCGUUCGUGCGAGUAGUGAGUAAUUUAUCGUGAAGGUAGCCAAGGUUUUUUUGUGUGUGCAUGUGUGUGUGCGCGUGUGCGUGUGUGAGAGCGCGUGUGGCUGGGGAAGUCCCUUCUUGUUUCAAAUGUUUAUUUAUGGCCCUUGGGUGAUCCUUGGGCACCCACACCGUGUAUUUAUCAUUAAACCCACGUCAGACUUUGCCAUGCCA